AAGAAUCUCAGUGUGAGGGUCUGGACGAAGUCGUGCAAGGUGGCCAACAGCAAACUUCCACCAGUUUGUUUGAAUAUUUGUACGUCGUACUGAAACCUGGUGUAGAUUAACUCACCCUCAGUUUUUAUAAGGAGAUUCCACUGUCAGAUGCGGCAGUUAUGCUCUACACAGGGAAAUAGCACUUUGGCGUAUUCUCAAUGUACUAGGGCAUAAUUAUAUAAACAAAAUUGAGCACUUAAAAGAUUUCAGAUAUGGUCUGAGAUAUAGAUGGUUUCCAUGUAAACGACGUUGCAUGAGAUUGCAGUGGGAUCAUUUACGCUUUCCAUCAGCACCUGAGUGGAUGAUUCACUUGCUUGUUUUACAAUCCUUCAGGACAGCCGUUCUUUGAAGAAGUUAUUUGUUGACGAAACCAAACUAACACACUGUUCAUCUCAUCCCUAUUAUAAACAAAAGAAACUACAAAAACAUUAUGACAGCCCAAAAUACGUACUCGAGAUGAGCACAAAUUAAGUAGCCUACCGACACUGCAUCGCUAUCGCGACAUUCCCUUGGACGAUAAGUUGGAGUGACUGCUGGCACAAUUAAAAAGAAAAUGCAAGAGCCACUUGACUUUGGCGAAGACAGAAGGCACCAGGAAGCCAGUUUUGCCAGGGAAAUAAACGCUAACCUGGCACUGAGAAACAACAGCUGGUGGAGUUCUGGAGCUCCAGUUAAACCUGUAAUGACUCGAGCACUCUCUUCCCCUCUCCUAAUCUGUGGAACAAGUUGCCAGGAGAGAGAAAGCCUUUUGAUGAGGCAGAAAUCAUCAUUUUUGAGCAAACUGAACGUUCACCUUGUGAAAAUGCACCUUCAAGUGGAGGCAAUUGAAUGAAACCUGGUAAUUCAUACUCAGGCAAGUGGAUGGUGGCCUGGAUGGAUCAGCUCUCCCCUAGCAUUAGAGCCUAUCUUGGGAACAAGAGAAUGCAGCACACUUAUUGUUGUUAAGUUUUCUUAUUCUUGUAAGCCCAAUUUUUGGUCAGCUCCUGCUCCUAGACCUUUUUAGAUAUCGCCACCGGUCCAACUCUGGAACGUCCGGCCGGAACCGGUGUAGUGUGGAAAUUGAAAAUGAUGUCACUGACCCUUGUCAUUCUUCCGCCAUAUUGGGUUGAAUAGAAAUCGAAACUAAAGUUUCACAGGUCACAAAUUUGGUCCGAACUUCACGAAACUUGACGUACAUGAUCCUUGGACCAAGCCUCACAAAAGUUACAGAAAGGAUUUGUGAUUUUCAGAAGCGUUUGCCCGUCACAGCCAAACAAAAUCGGCGACGAAGCUCCGAAACAGGAAGUUGUCCAUAUCUCAGGAACACUGUCACAUAUCGAUACCAAAUUUUGUAUAUGAAAUGUGAGGGUGCAUAAGCUAAAAAAAAGGAAAACAUUCCAAAACUUUCCAGCAUUUGGUAAACCACCACAGGUAUUUGACUGGACACUUUCCUGUAUCCUUCCAUGAGCUUUCCCCUGUGCUAUUCCUGACACUCACACAGCACCUACAAAGAGGUUAAGCAUGAAGGGCACAUUCUCUACAUUCUCUUCUGCUGGGUUGUGAGUGACCAUCAGCUGCCAAGAUGAGACCCACACAAGGCUCCAGGUCUAUCAAUAAGAGGGAGACAAGAGGUAUUAUGUAAAGACCAUGCUUCAAGCAGGAGCACUGAGAAUCACUGAUGGAUUACGGUUUUAUAUUAAGUCAAAAGAAACAUACAGAUACCUGCAACUUCUGUGCUGCACCGUUUGAUAUGCAUGACUCAAUGGAAACAAGGCUCGCAGUAAACUGCUUGGAAACUUUUGAGUGUGGCUGUACAGAAGUGGAACAGAAGAAGGUGUAUGCUGUGUCAAGGAGUUGGCCUGGUUUGCUCAUAUGGGAAUCAAUGAAAACAACUGGAGGCAUUGUUGCUCCUUAGAUUUCAGACAGUGGAAAAUGUCUUCAAGAGUACAACACAAUUUGGAGGAGAAUGGCCUUGAGUCUGUAUUUUUUUUCCAAAGGGUUGACCCCCUUUGUACAUCUGGCAUCUGCUAGCUUGAUAAACUCAAUUCUUUCAUCAAUUAUAUGCAGUAUAAAACAUGUUGACAACGCUGGAAAGGACUGACCUGUAUCUUCUCACCCUAUGAGAAGUAGUUUUCAGUGGAAAAAUCCAUCAUUGCUGCUUCUUUCAUUCAAGCUUUAAUGGAUGACGAAGCCAAGACUGAACUCUAAACGAAUUCAGUCAUAGGAUGAAAAGCAAGAUAGACCUUGCCAUCACGUUCAAAUCAUUCUGACUGGGACAUUUUUUUUUUCAUAUUCAAAGACAAACACUUAGACAUACAGUAUACAGUACACUUGCUUUGGAUCUUAAUUUUAUGCUAAUUUAGAGGGAAAGCAGUUCCUGUCACAAAUUUGCACAUCUGGGCACGGAGCUAAAACGUAAUUUAACAAAUCUGGACCGUUCUACAAUCAUUAGCAUUUUCUGUGACUUAGCAUGACUUUGAGUUAGUGCAUCACAUUUUUUGAGACUUACAAAGGAAGUGAAUCCUAAAGCCAACCAAAAACUGUUUACCUUAUGGCUCAUGCAAAAGCUUCCCUGCAGAGAGAGAGAGAAAACAGUCUACUCACACACACUGUAAGACAAGGAAGUGUUCACAUAAGUCAUAUCCACACAUUCUGUUUCAGCAGUUAAUUUGCUCAGUUAUGAGCGAAAUCUCAAGAAUAUCCCUGAGCGUAAACAUCCAAAUAUUUCACACCUGCGGUCCCAGCAUUCAGGUCAGAGAAGAGUAUGCAAACAAACAGUGUGAUGGAAAGGCAGCAGCAUGUUGCUGACUACUGAAGUCUUAUUUUGCAAUAGUUAACAUUUCCCAACUUGAACUUAUACUUCUACACUAUAUGCUGCACACAUUUAGAUAUACAGUACCUUGUGAACAGUGUUGGGAAGUAACGUAACACAAUAUGAUGAUUAUAUGAUUAUACAAUACAAUAAAAUAACGGGGUUAUGUAUAUAAAAAUCUUUUUUUUUUUCGAAUUAAAAUGUAAAUAUAGUUUUUAAUAACCAAACCACAUGCAUCCCUCACAUGCCUUUUCUUUUUCUUUCUCUGGUUAUAUUGAAAGGAUGCAAUGAGAUAAAACCUCUCAGGAAAUGUACAAUCUUUUUUCUUGAAGGCCAUGCACAUUUAGCCUUGUCAUAGGUUCAUUUUCAGGAGUGAUAAGGUGUUGAUAAGGUUAAGAAAAUAAAUCAGUGCAUAGAGUGCUUGUAGGGUGGAUGUUAGUUUUGGUAGUGAUUUCGCCAAUGAGUAGACAGAUCACUGUUGUUCUUUGAUCCAAUGAUGUAAGUAAUGUUUCCUCACACCCAGGCCUACUGUAUAUAUCAAUCUAUCCGUAUACUGUACUGGGCUGCUGUUGUAAUUGGCUGGGUUUUGCAACCUUAUAUAACCUGAUAUAACCGAUUUAUCCACAGCUUAAUACAAUAUAAGAUAAUGCUGAUGUAA